rnacentral:rRNA from 1 species
UACGUAGGCAGCGAGCGUUGUUCGGAGUUACUGGGCGUAAAGGGUGUGUAGGCGGUUGUUUAAGUUUGGUGUGAAAUCUCCCGGCUCAACUGGGAGGGUGCGCCGAAUACUGAAUGACUUGGAGCGCGGGAGAGGAGAGUGGAAUUCCUGGUGUAGCGGUGAAAUGCGUAGAUAUCAGGAGGAACACCGGUGGUGUAGACGGCUCUCUGGACCGUAACUGACGCUGAGACACGAAAGCGUGGGUAGCAAACAGG